rnacentral:rRNA from 1 species
GACGAACGCUGACGGCGUGCUUAACACAUGCAAGUCGAACGGAAAGGCCCUGCUUUUGUGGGUGCUCGAGUGGCGAACGGGUGAGUAACACGUGAGUAACCUGCCCCUGGCUUUGGGAUAACUUCAGGAAACUGGGGCUAAUACCGGAUAGGAGCUCCUGCUGCAUGGUGGGGGGUGGAAAGUUUCGGCGGUUGGGGAUGGACUCGCGGCUUAUCAGCUUGUUGGUGGGGUAGUGGCUUACCAAGGCUUUGACGGGUAGCCGGCCUGAGAGGGUGACCGGCCACAUUGGGACUGAGAUACGGCCCAGACUCCUACGGGAGGCAGCAGUGGGGAAUAUUGCACAAUGGGCGGAAGCCUGAUGCAGCAACGCCGCGUGCGGGAUGACGGCCUUCGGGUUGUAAACCGCUUUCGCCUGUGACGAAGCGUGAGUGACGGUAAUGGGUAAAGAAGCACCGGCUAACUACGUG